rnacentral:rRNA from 1 species
UGGUGGCGAGUGGCGAACGGGUGAGUAAUAUAUCGGAACGUACCCUGGAGUGGGGGAUAACGUAGCGAAAGUUACGCUAAUACCGCAUACGAUCUAAGGAUGAAAGUGGGGGAUCGCAAGACCUCAUGCUCCUGGAGCGGCCGAUAUCUGAUUAGCUAGUUGGUGGGGUAAAGGCCCACCAAGGCUUCGAUCAGUAGCUGGUCUGAGAGGACGACCAGCCACACUGGAACUGAGACACGGUCCAGACUCCUACGGGAGGCAGCAGUGGGGAAUUUUGGACAAUGGGCGCAAGCCUGAUCCAGCAAUGCCGCGUGAGUGAA